GACAAAAUGGUGGAUUUCCUUUGCCUAUCUGUCAUUUCGUCUACUCUUCCGUGGAAAGAAACGGUUUCUUUGGUAACCAUGCUAAAGGCCUGCAGUGAAACAGGGGA